GCAUAACACNUAGGUGUCGCAUGGCNUNUANGUCAAANAUUUAUCGCUGAAAGAUGGCCUCGCGUCUGAUUAGSUAGUUGGUGAGGUAACGGCUCACCAAGGCGACGAUCAGUAGCCGNACUGAGAGGUUGGCCGGCCACAUUGGGACUGAGAUACGGCCCAGACUCCUACGGGAGGCAGCAGUGGGGAAUAUUGGGCAAUGGGCGNAAGCCUGACCCAGCAACGCCGCGUGAAGGAAGAAGGCUUUCGGGUUGUAAACUUCUUUUGACAGGGAAGAGUANAANACGGNNCCUGUCGAAUAANCCNCGNNUAACUACGUGCCAGCANCCGCGGNNAUACGUAGGUGGNNAGCGUUGUCCGGAUUUACUGGGUGUAAAGGGCGUGUANCCGGGUUGACAAGUCAGAUGUGAAAUCCUGCGNCUUANCCGCANAANUGCNUUUGAAACUGUUGAUCUUGAGUACUGGAGAGGCAGACGGAAUUCCUAGUGUAGCGGNGAAAUGCGUAGAUAUUAGGAGGAACACCAGUGGCGAAGGCGGUCUGCUGGACAGCAACUGACGGUGAGGCGCGAAAGCGUGAGGAGCAAACAGGAUUAGAUACCCUGGUAGUCCACGCUGUAAACGAUGGAUACUAGGUGU
rnacentral:rRNA from 1 species